UACAGAGGGGGCAAGCGUUAUUCGGAAUUAUUGGGCGUAAAGGGCGCGUAGGCGGCUUGGCAAGUGGAAGGUGAAAUCCCUCGGCUUAACCGAGGAACUGCCCUCCAAACUGCUUGGCUUGAGACCGGGAGAGGUGAGUGGAAUUCCCAGUGUAGCGGUGAAAUGCGUAGAUAUUGGGAAGAACACCAGCGGCGAAAGCGCGCUACUGGGCCAUUACUGACACUCAUGGACGAAAGCUAGGGGAGCGAACAGG
rnacentral:rRNA from 1 species